UCAGGAUGAACGCUAGCGACAGGCUAACACAUGCAAGUCAGGGGCAGCAUAAAAGUAGCAAUACUUGGUGGCGACCGGCGCACGGGUGAGUAACGCGUAUGCAACCUACCUAUCAGAGGGGAAUAACCCGGCGAAAGUCGGACUAAUACCGCAUAAAACAGGGACACCGCAUGGUGAUAUUUGUUAAAGAAAUUCGCUGAUAGAUGGGCAUGCGUUCCAUUAGGUAGUUGGUGAGGUAACGGCUCACCAAGCCGACGAUGGAUAGGGGAACUGAGAGGUUGGUCCCCCACACUGGUACUGAGACACGGACCAGACUCCUACGGGAGGCAGCAGUGAGGAAUAUUGGUCAAUGGGCGAGAGCCUGAACCAGCCAAGUCGCGUGAAGGAAGAAGGAUCUAUGGUUCGUAAACUUCUUUUGCAGGGGAAUAAAGUGCAGGACGUGUCCUGUUUUGUAUGUACCCUGAGAAUAAGGAUCGGCUAACUCCGUGCCAGCCGCCGC
rnacentral:rRNA from 1 species